GACGAACGCUGGCGGCGUGCCUAAUACAUGCAAGUUGAGCGAUGAAGCUUGGUGCUUGCACCAAUUUGAAGAGCAGCGAACGGGUGAGUAACGCGUGGGGAAUCUGCCUUUGGGCGGGGGACAACAUUUGGAAACGAAUGCUAAUACCGCAUAACAACUUUAAACAUAAGUUUUAAGUUUGAAAGAUGCAAUUGCAUCACUCAAAGAUGAUCCCGCGUUGUAUUAGCUAGUUGGUGAGGUAAAGGCUCACCAAGGCGAUGAUACAUAGCCGACCUGAGAGGGUGAUCGGCCACAUUGGGACUGAGACACGGCCCAAACUCCUACGGGAGGCAGCAGUAGGGAAUCUUCGGCAAUGGACGAAAGUCUGACCGAGCAACGCCGCGUGAGUGAAGAAGGUUUUCGGAUCGUAAAACUCUGUUGGUAGAGAAGAACGUUGGUGAGAGUGGAAAGCUCAUCAAGUGACGGUAACUACCCAGAAAGGGACGGCUAACUACGUG
rnacentral:rRNA from 1 species